GCACUGGUGGUUCAGUGGUAGAAUUCUUGUCUUAGAUUCAGGAGACCCAGGUUCAAUUUCUAGCAGGGGCG
rnacentral:tRNA from 1 species